AAAUGACCGUUCAAGUGUUCAUAGACGGUUGAACAGCAUGCGAAGCAUGACCGGCCCAGUUGCUAGGAGACGAGGACAAACAGACGUUCAAGCAGUAAGCACCCAACAGCAGAAAGUCGUCAUGCAAUAGCAUAACAAAAAUACGCCGGUGUGUUUGUGUGAUUUCGUCAAAAUUUGGCCGAUUCCAGGCGGGAAAACGACAACUCGACGGAACUUCGGCGAUGGCGACAGACGACUUCAGCUUUUGCUGCAUCUCAUCUGAUGAAUUCAAUUCAAUUUUCAAACAAGUGAGGCGCAACCGCCAGCGGAAGAGGGAAGCCGACCACUGGGAGAGAUUCAUCCGCAAGAAUCAGUCCAGCAGCGACGGGGACAAGAAGUCCAGUUACACCUGCGAGUGGCGCAGAGCUGAAAAGGCAACGCAGACUGAUCCAGAAAGGCAGAUGCCAGUGCAACACUGGGCGGAACUGGUCCAAAAGUCCCAAUCGAUUCAACACUCUGAAAAUGAGGUGAAUGUGGCACAAAUGGUUGAAGAGUCCGAGUGUGAAAAAGAGAAAAUUAGGCCAGAAUCAACUCAUUCAGUCUCUGAACCUGAACAUUCGCUUGUACGAUCGGAACACCCAAUCAAGCAUGAGAGUAAAAGUUUUGAAAAAAAGUUACAAGAUCUAAGCCACAAAAUCGUAUUGACUGCGGACGGGAUGAAACUGAACGAAAAGCCGAAGGAUGUCAAUGAGAUCGAAUACUUAAGGGGGAAGAAAAGAAGAUUGGCUUUCAUGACCAGGUUCAAAAGACACUACCAUUAUCAACUGGUUUGCCAGAUCAAUGAGAUCAAAAAGAUCCCAAGGAAUGACAACAUAGCAAAAACAAAGAGAUAUGUCAUUGCUCACAAAUUUGUGGCAGCUUACCAAACAGUACUUUACGCUCUAAUAGCGUUGGAAAAGCACAUGCUUGCAUCCUGCUUCAGCAAGAAGUCAUUUUCUUGGGUGAAAGACUUUUUCGAAGCUGUUACUGAAUUGUGGGAACUCUUGCACACCUAUGAUAUAAUCGACAUUGACUCUAAUGACACUUGCAAUAACAUCAAGCUUGCAUGCAACAGGCUGUGUGAGAAGAUAUGCGAAGAUAAAUUGGCCGAGGUUAGAACUGUGAAGAAGACAGACAAGCACGUCUGUGUUUACAAGCCUCAAAAAGGAAGGAAGAACAUUGUUAAAGGGAAGAAUGCCAAGAAAAAUGAAAUGGCUGAAGAAGCCCAGUCGCAUAUUUCUGUUCCAGAGUCUGGUCAGGUUGUUCCAUGCCAGAGUAACAAAAAAGAAUCAAUAGAUUGCAAAUGGAAAGACCCAGGGAAAAUAUCAGGAGAGUUGCAAAUGGGCAUGAAGAGAAUACAAAAUCAAAUAAACCAACAGAGAAAAGUCAAGAAUCGAGGUGAAAAAUAUGGCCUUUGAGACCUUCCAACCAGAGAGAACAUUGGCUGUUGGCCAAGUUUUUUUUCCUCAAAUUUUAUUAUUAUUACCGACCAACACCGUCACGAAUGUUUAGAAUUGGCCAAAUCUAGUCAGUCAAUUUACAAUCAGCUCUCUUUAAAUAAAGCAAGGAAGGGGUGACGGAAAACGUGAGCAAAAAUAUCAAAGUCGUUUGCGUUAAAUACUCAAAAAAGGACCAGGAUAAUAAGGAAAAAGCUGGUUCGUAUCGCGUGAAGCCCAACAAAUUCCAAGUCGGUAAAAAGAACCUUCGCAAUUACCGGAGGGCUUUCAACGCUUUCAAGAUACAGAGCGAUUGGUACGACGACUACAGGGACAAAGUGGUCGACAGGGUCGUAACAAGGCUGACUGAUGAAAUCAUAAAAGAGGUUGUCGAAGAAAUCAAUGUUGACGACAUUCUAAAAAAGUUAAUUGAUCUGGAAUUAAAAGAGAUUUAGCUGUGAAUGAAUGUUGAUAAAAUAUCGUCUGCUAAUUAAAAUUUGUAAAUAAAAAUAUUUGUAUAUUGAGAGCAAUUCCUUUUUUUUUUCUUCCAAAUCCUCAAGUGCUUAGAACGUUUAUAGCACACACUAAGUAGUUGUUGUCUCUGCACAUGUGAAAUUAAUUGAAAAAUAAACUUUAUUCUGCCCUUAUGAAUAAUUAAUUAAGAAUACAACACAUUUACAGCAUUUCAAGCCUGAUAAGGCUUUACAAAGAUAUCUACUUACAAAAAAUAUAUACAUAUAAACAAUAUUCUACUAAGGAUAUUAAAGUAAAAAUCUUUGGUGCCAAGGUGUAAGGACAAAAGGUAAUCUACUAAACUGAUUUAAAGUUAGGAAAAGAUGGUGCUUGGUAGAAGGAGGAAAGGAAUUCAUAGGUUGGAGGCACUCAUGAGAACUGAAGGUUAGAAAGGUGGGAACAAGUUUGGCAGGGUGUACAGAGGAUUUGAAGGUGACAUCAAAUAAUAUGUUAUGUAGAAAGGGGAAUGGGAAGAUAACAGAGUUGAUUUCAUGCUGAACUGACAGAAUAGUCACUUUUUGUAUCCCUCUUUACUCAUAGGUUGGUUGAUUCAUUCUACAUCGCUUGCGGAAGAAUAUAUCCACUACAAGUCAUACAGAUCAGUCAUGUGCAUCUUCUCAGGGAGCUGAAGAUAAAACAAUUCAUUAGAUGUUAAGCUUUUCUUGAAGUUAUCUGUGCACCAUAUCCAUUAAAAUGGUGGAGGAAUAUGAGAGUUUAUGCAUACCAAAGGGGAGAAGGUGGUUAGCUAGAUGGAACCGAUGAAGGGUGUAUAAGCAGAGAUAGGAAAUCUGCGAUAAGGGCUUCCAGUACAAGAUCUGAUCAAGGACUAUCCGAAGAUUCUUGAUUGAUGGGACAGAAACAAUGAUUAUUUAAAGCCCAUUUUCAGCCUAGUAAUUUAACGAGUAGCAAGAUUUUUUUUUAGGUCAUGGAGUCAUAAAUAAAACCCUGGCCCAACCCUGUUGAUGGUGAAAUGUCAAAACGCAUGUCAGGCCAAUCCAGCAGGGUAGGCAGAUCAGGCUCAUUGAUAACGACCAAAUUACAGGUUCAUCACCUACCUCGCAGACCACAUGGAAAAAUCUCACACCAUAAAUAAAAUAGUAAAAGUAGAUAAUUUUCUUUAUUAAUAGAAAAUUCCAGAUGGUGAUUGUACAUAGAUAGGAUGAGGUAUUUUUACAUCUAAGAUUCCUACAAAACAAUUUUAUUAUUUACAAAGGUCAUUACUUACUUUUAUUGUAUAAAAUAUAUAAAAUAUGUUUUUUUAAAC
rnacentral:misc_RNA from 1 species